rnacentral:rRNA from 1 species
UACGGAGGAUCCAAGCGUUAUCCGGAUUUAUUGGGUUUAAAGGGUGCGUAGGCGGGACAGUAAGUCAGUGGUGAAAUCCUAUUGCUUAACAAUAGAAUUGCCAUUGAUACUGCUGACCUUGAGUACAAAUGAUGUGGGCGGAAUGUGCAGUGUAGCGGUGAAAUGCUUAGAUAUUGCACAGAACACCGAUAGCGAAGGCAGCUCACAAAAAUGUAACUGGCGCUGAGGCACGAAAGUAUGGGGAUCAAACAGG